UACGUAGGGUGCGAGCGUUGUCCGGAAUUAUUGGGCGUAAAGAGCUUGUAGGCGGUCUGUCGCGUCUGCUGUGAAAUCCGGGCUCAACCCGGACUUGCAGUGGGUACGGGCAGACUAGAGUGUGGUAGGGAGACUGGAAUUCCUGGUGUAGCGGUGAAAUGCGCAGAUAUCAGGAGGAACACCGAUGGCGAAGGCAGGUCUCUGGGCAUUACCUGACGCUGAGGCACGAAAGCGUGGGUAGCAAACAGG
rnacentral:rRNA from 1 species